UUACAUAAUGCCAUUGAACGCACCUCGUGUGUGCCGUAGUUUUCAAACAGUUGUUCACUAGUUUCUCCUGCAUAUGUUGCACAUGUUUGAGCUGGAUGCGUGUUGCAUGCCUUUUCCUUAACCUGCUGUGUGUACAUGAUCAAGAACCACAGCUAACUACAGUUACCUGCAGUACAGCACAGCUACUUGUCACAGCUAUCUGCUACUGCAAUAAAUCAUUAACCUGGAAGUCUGGCUGCCGUGUUCUUUAACUGGGACACAUCAUACCUUGCGCCACUCUGCGAAAAUCCUACCUGGAGACCCUCUCUCCGUUUUAGUAGUGGUGCUGUAGAAAUUGUUCCAAGCACUUGGAUUGACGGGGAUAAAGUCUUCUGGCCCCCACUCAACCCCAAGGACACCAAUAAGAUCUAUUUGGUCAUCCGAAACAGGGAGCAGCCAAGGCCUGGAUGGCAGAUCCAUAAGCCUUUGAAGGUCCUCAGCAGCCAUGAUGGGUUUGCCUCAGACGUCUGCACACAGGUCCAUGUGACCAUGCUGAGGCAAACAAAUGGCUGUCCAGGUAUCUCAGCGGAGACUGUGACACGACAGACAUUCAGUCCGAAGAGGAAUGUACUCAGCUGAAAAGAACAAGAAGGCCAAAUCCCAGAUUUAAUUCAGACUCUGACAGCUGUGACACCCAGGAAAGACUCCCACAAGCCCCCAGAAUUCUGUAUCCAGCCUCAUCUUCCCCAAAAACAUAUGAGACCCUCUGACGACCUCUUUCAGAAGAGUUCUGUCUCUGGCACCUUCAUGGAAGAGUUCCAAAGCCAAAGUUUGCUGGCCCCGCCAACUGGAAUACAACUCCCACAGGAGUCAUCUCCUGCAGAUGUGGCAAUGCAGAGACUCCUAACUGCUGUAAGUGAGCUGACCAAAGAAGUCAGGGACCUGCGGCAAGAGUUCAGAGAAUUCCGCCAGUCCUGCAGGUGUGGCCAGGCUGUAGCACCGGUGGGACCUCAGCCGGGGGUGCCCUUCGACUUGCCAUUGUGCAAUUUAGAGGCACUAGACGAAGCAGAGGCCGCUCUACAAACGGAGGACAACCAAGGAGCAAUGACUGCACUCCUUGCCAAAAUUGGAGGGACCACUGUGGAGCUCAAAAUCCGGAGGAUGCUGGCAUGGACUCUCACAAAUGAGCUAGCUUCAGAAAUGAAUUGGGCUGGGAAAAAAAACAAAGAUCCAUCCAAACAGAAGCGCCCUUUCAGAAAGCUGGCUCUCUCCAAGUGCAUGUUUGAUGCUCUUGUUCUGGAUGGAGGAAAAGCCACACAGUUUGAGUUUGCACAGGUGGUGCAGAAGUGGCUGCGCUACGCACCGGAUAGGGCAGGGGGGACUGGACGCUCUAAAUUCCCAAUGCAACCGACUUCUUGAGACUUCUGUUCUUCUCUUUUGUUCUUUUUGUUCUUCUCUUUUGUUGAUGUAGAAAUAAUUCUGGAAUUCCUGAAUAAGUUGGUGGAGGGAAGGUGGGACAUCACACAUCUCACACAAGACAACGCACGCAUGUGCGUGCCCCCCCCCCCCCCCCCCCCCCCCCCCACACACACACACUCCUGAAGUUCCUUUUUCGUUCGUUUUGCAUAAAUUGUAAUAAAAGUUCUUUUGUAUUUUAAAGUCAUCUGCUGUAAUCAUUUGACUAUACAGUAAAAUGUUUUCAUCACCUUUUAGACAUCCUGGCUAUAGAUAAGGCAGCGCUUUUACCGUUUAAAUUUAACUGAAGCCACAUUGAUUUAUAGUUGAGUAGAAAUGUCAAGGUUGUUUCAAUGUUGCUGAUGGUUGAAAUACCAUUGGUCUCUGGUCAGAAUUUCAAUGUUUCAAUAUUAAAAAAACGGUGCAACAUGAUGUUGAAUCAACAUUAUAAUUCAACAGUGAUUCAGUGACUUAUAGUUGCAAAAAUAACAUUGAUUCAAUAUAGUUUCAAUAACUGCUUGCUGUCAUGGCAAUGUUGUUUCAAUGUUCCUGAUGGUUGAAGUACCAUUGAAAUACCAUUGGUCUAUGGUCAGAAUUUCAGUGUUGUUUCAGUGUUGAAAUCUGAUGUUGAAUCAACAUCAGAUUUCAACGUUGAUUCAAAGACUUGUAGUUGAAAAAAUAACAUUGAUUAAAUGUAGUUUCAAUAAAUGCUUGCUGUCUGGGAUAUCUCUCCCCUUAUAUCCCUGCUGUAUAAUGGGAGAACUGAGCUGCAAGUUGUCCAGUCAGUAUUUUGAAUCGUGGUCUGAAUGGUGUCAGGGUCGUUCUCAAACACAUUUGGAGCUCAUUGGUCAGUCUGGUACGAUAUUUAGUUUGGAUUAUAUUCAUAGUUGAGAAAACUGCCUCAUAACUGUAUGUUUAGCCGAACAUAAUCAGCAUGUGCAGGGCUACUUUCUUCUCGGUGUCGCGUUAUUUGUCUUUUUAUCUACUCUGUCCUCUUGUCUGUCCUUUGCCUCUGAAGUGUUUUCUGAAUGCUGAGCUUGCUUAGCAGCUACAAUGCAGAGAUGUCAUUGGCUGGGUAGCGUCAUGUGGGAUGAAUUCGUAUGUAAUUGGUCUGUGUGUUUCCUGAGCUGAUAGCCAACAAUGUAAACACUGGAAAAGCUGCACUGGGAUAAUAGAAGCGACCCGUGAAAUUUAAAAUGUCAUUACACUUUACUGAUUACAGGUCCGGGGGAACCUGUUGGCCAGCCCCACUAGACACCGGCCCACCAGGACAGUGCCCGGUAUGCCAGAUGGCCAGUCCACCCCUGCAUAUCGCUGCAGGUUGCUGUAGCCAUGAUGAUUCAGUGUGCCUUCAGUUUUGAAUAAAUCCCCAACAAUGUCACAAGCAAAGCAUCCCACACUGUCACACCUCCUCCUCCAUGCUUCACUGUCGGAACCACACAUGUAGAGACCACAAAUUCGCCUUUUCUGCAUCGCAUGAAGACACGGCGGGUAGAAUCAAAGAUCUCAAUUUUGGACUCAUCAGACCAGUGGCGUGCACAGAUAGACACCAGGUGGUGCUAGAGCACCCGCCCCUUGCCCUCAGUAUCAAGCAGGUGCCCUCCACUCUCAACUUUUAAAAAUAAAUAAAUAAAUUUUUAACAUUAAACACACACACAGAGGCACACACACAGACGACCCGUGUCGCUACUCGCCCCGCCCCAUCUCGUAAGCUGCACAGUCCACAGGCAUCUCCACCCUGACUGUAGCCACCAACCAGGUAACACUUAAAUGAAUCAAGUCUAUUGUUCAUAAGCUUUGGUUGCCAAGCCACAUGGCACAUUUGUUUGUCUCUGUUGUGAAGUAGCCUGUCUCAUGCAGCGCUAAACAACCGUGCCUGAAUUAGCCCACUUUAGUUAGAAAGCCUUCAUAUUUCGAUUGGAAUAUUGUCUGGGUUGUGUUAUGUAUAUGUGCAUUUUCUCCUUUGUUGAGUUAAUCGAAUGUUGAUGUUUUUUCCUUAAUGUCCCUGAACGCACCUCGAGUGUUGACUAGUUUCUCCCCUGCACAUGUUCGGACUGAAUAUGUGUUGCUUUUGUCCUUUACUUGCUGUGUGUAAAUGAUCAAAGGUGAGUGAUCUUGUGUUCCCCCAGUGUAGAGCCUUCACUGUUCAUUGUUACCUGUUGAUUGUUAUUGAUACUUUUUGUGAUGGACAUUAGCUUAGCUAGUAGCCAAUCACGUUGUAGAUCAGGGGUGGGCAAUUAUUUUUUCCAUGGGGCCACAUAAGAAACAGAAAAUAUUGUGGAGGGCUGGGCCAAAAGACUUCUGCUUAAUAUUUAUUGUAUUUCUUUAUUUUUUUAAAAACAGUAAAUAACAUUGUUUUAACAAGCUGGCAAGAGUAUAUGUUAAAGUUAUGCAAUGAACAAGUGAGCUUGCCUUACAAAAAAAAUGUAAUUUAUUCACUCAAGUCUCUCAAAACAAUGGAAGACAAAAUGUUAACAUUUUUUUUACUAUUUGUGACUCAUAUUAGUGAACAUUUUCAGUCACAUUCAAUCCAAAACACAAUUUGAGUUUCAUAUACUGUUGAAAAGUUGUGUAAAGGUUCUGAGCAUUUUAAAGGCAUCACAGUAUUGUCUUUGUGCUCCUAACAUUAAGCAAGAAACAACUUAUUGAACUGUCCUUAACUGUGAUUUUGAGAAAGAGGUUUCCAAAUAAAGUGUCCCAGUUCACUGCUA